AGAGUUUGAUCAUGGCUCAGGACGAACGCUGGCGGCGUGCUUAAUACAUGCAAGUUGAGCGGAGCCAUUGAUGAAGCUUGCGAUUCAAUGGUCGAGCGGCGGACGGGUGAGUAACGCGUGGGCAACCUGCCCUCUAGUCUGGGAUAACAGUUCGAAAGGGCUGCUAACACCGGAUAAGCUCACGGAGAGGCAUCUUUCAGUGAGAAAAGUUUACGCUAGAGGAUGGGCCCGCGUCCCAUUAGCUAGUUGGUGAGGUAACGGCUCACCAAGGCGCCGAUGGGUAGCCGACCUGAGAGGGUGACCGGCCACACUGGGACUGAGACACGGCCCAGACUCCUACGGGAGGCAGCAGUAGGGAAUUUUCCGCAAUGGGCGAAAGCCUGACGGAGCAACGCCGCGUGAGGGAAGAAGGUCUUCGGAUCGUAAACCUCUGUCUUCAGGGACGAUGAUGACGGUACCUGAGGAGGAAGCUACGGCUAACUACGUGCCAGCAGCCGCGGUAAUACGUAGGUGGCGAGCGUUGUCCGGAAUUACUGGGCGUAAAGGGCGUGUAGGCGGCCAUUUAAGUCAGAUGUGAAAUACCAUGGCUUAACCAUGGGACUGCAUUUGAGACUGGAUGGCUUGAGGAUCGGAGAGGGCAGUGGAAUUCCCAGUGUAGCGGUGAAAUGCGUAGAUAUUGGGAGGAACACCGGUGGCGAAGGCGACUGCCUGGACGACACCUGACGCUGAGGCGCGAAAGCUAGGGGAGCAAACGGGAUUAGAUACCCCGGUAGUCCUAGCCGUAAACGAUGGGUACUAGGUGUGGGAGGUAUCGACCCCUUCCGUGCCGCAGUUAACACAAUAAGUACCCCGCCUGGGGAGUACGGCCGCAAGGUUGAAACUCAAAUGAAUUGACGG
rnacentral:rRNA from 1 species